rnacentral:lncRNA from 1 species
AAGGACAGCUGGGGGAGUUAUUUGUUUGUUUGUUUUGAUUUCAGAAAGAUGUGAACUCCAGGAUCUCUUGAGAGACUGCCAGAGCCAGCAGCCCCAAGGAUACUUCAAACAGUGGGCAUAGGUGCAAUUCUAUAAAAAGAAACCAGAAACCAUUUAGAUGUCCAGAUGCUUGAGGAAAGAUGCAAGACAGCAAGGUGGGAAUCUGAGAAACAAGGAGUUUAAGGAAUUUGCCAUAAGUCACCCAG